rnacentral:rRNA from 1 species
CAGCCGUAAACUAUGCGCGUUAGGUGUACUGGUGACCACGAGUCACCGGGGUGCCGAAGGGAAACCGUGAAACGUGCCGCCUGGGAAGUACGGUCGCAAGGCUGAAACUUAAAGGAAUUGGCGGGGGAGCACCACAACGGGUGGAGCCCGCGGUUUAAUUGGACUCAACGCCGGAAAUCUCACCGGAUAGGACAGACAUAUGAUAGUCGGGCUGAAGACUCUACUUGAUGAUCUGAGAGGUGGUGCAUGGCGUCAGUGACU